AGUGAACGCUGGCGGUAGGCCUAACACAUGCCAGUCGAACGGCAGCACAGUAAGAGCUUGCUCUUACGGGUGGCGAGUGGCGGACGGGUGAGGAAUACAUCGGAAUCUACUUUUUCGUGGGGGAUAACGUAGGGAAACUUACGCUAAUACCGCAUACGACCUACGGGUGAAAGCAGGGGAUCUUCGGACCUUGCGCGAUUGAAUGAGCCGAUGUCGGAUUAGCUAGUUGGCGGGGUAAAGGCCCACCAAGGCGACGAUCCGUAGCUGGUCUGAGAGGACGAUCAGCCACACUGGAACUGAGACACGGUCCAGACUCCUACGGGAGGCAGCAGUGGGGAAUAUUGGACAAUGGGCGCAAGCCUGAUCCAGCCAUACCGCGUGGGUGAAGAAGGCCUUCGGGUUGUAAAGCCCUUUUGUUGGGAAAGAAAAGCAGCAGGUUAAUACCCCGCUGUUCGGACGGUACCCAAAGAAUAAGCACCGGCUAACUUCGU
rnacentral:rRNA from 1 species